rnacentral:rRNA from 1 species
AAAGGAAUUGACGGGGAGCACCACAACGGGUGGAGCUUGCGGUUUAAUUGGAUUCGAACGCCGGAAAUCUUACCGGGACCGACAGCAAUAUGAAGGCCAGGCUGAAGACUUUGCCGGAUUAGCUGAGAGGUGGUGCAUGGCCGUCGUCAGUUCGUACUGUGAAGCAUCCUGUUAAGUCAGGCAACGAGCGAGACCCACGCCCACAGUUGCCAGCGUACUCUCUGGAGUGACGGGUACACUGUGGGGACCGCCGCUGCUAAAGCGGAGGAAGGAAUGGGCAACGGUAGGUCAGUAUGCCCCGAAUAUCCCGGGCUACACGCGAGCUACAAUGGUUGGUACAAUGGGUAUCUACCCCGAAAGGGGACGGGAAUCUCCUAAAACCAAUCUUAGUUCGGAUUGAGGGCUGCAACUCGCCCUCAUGAAGCUGGAAUCCGUAGUAAUCGCGUUUCAACAGAACGCGGUGAAUACGUCCCUGCUCCUU